rnacentral:rRNA from 1 species
AUUGAACGCUGGCGGAAUGCUUUACACAUGCAGGUCGAACGGUAGAGGGGGCAACCCCUCGAGAGUGGCGAACGGGUGAGUAAUAUAUCGGAACGUGCCCAGUCGUGGGGGAUAACGUAGCGAAAGUUACGCUAAUACCGCAUACGAUCUAAGGAUGAAAGCGGGGGAUCGCAAGACCUCGCGCGAUUGGAGCGGCCGAUAUCAGAUUAGGUAGUUGGUGGGGUAAAGGCUCACCAAGCCAACGAUCUGUAGCUGGUCUGAGAGGACGACCAUCCACACUGGAACUGAGACACGGUCCAGACUCCUACGGGAGGCAGCAGUGGGGAAUUUUGGACAAUGGACGCAAGUCUGAUCCAGCCAUUCCGCGUGCAGGAUGAAGGCCCUCGGGUUGUAAACUGCUUUUGUACGGAACGAAAAGGUCUCUCUUAAUACGGGGGGCUCAUGACGGUACCGUAAGAAUAAGCACCGGCUAACUACGUGCCAGCCGCCGCGGUAA